CACCUUCUUCCCAGUGCGGCCCGGGCUGCGGCCCCGGGUCCGAGGAGGCCCGGGGAGACCCGGAGGAGGUCAGAAGGCCUUCAGGGCCCCCGGGAUGGGGUGGAAACUGAGACCCAGAGAGCCGUGACUUGACUGAUCCCACAGCCAGGAAAUGGUGGAGCCUGGAUUUGAACCCCAGCUUUUAAGAAGAAGGUGCCACUGUCCUGGAAGAACUCUCAGGACAGCAUUAGUGUCUCAGGGAUCCCCCUAAUUGGAAGGGCCUUAAGCCUAAUCAUGAUUGUCACUGAGGAUCCAGGAGGGCUUCCUGGAGGAGGAGGCAGCUCCAUUCUGAAAUGCCAAGGGUACAGCUUUAUUGGGACAGCCAGUGUCUCUGAAUAUGUAGGUUUUGCACAGAGCUUGUACUGCCCCAGGGCCUGUACACUGCCUGUCCCCUCUGCCUUGUGCACUCUUUCCCUAGAUGUCCAAAUGGCUCCUUUCCUCACCUACCCCAAAUCUCAAUUCAAAUGUUUCCCCAGCCUCCCCUCAUUUCAGUAAUCACUCUGCAGUGAGCUAGGAUGGCACCACUGCACUCCAGCUUGGAUAAGAGAACAAGACCCUGUCUCUUAACUAAAUACAUAAAUAAAAAGAA